GGAAGUUGCUGGCUGACUGGGCUUGCGAGGAAACCGCCUCGGAGCUGCAGCCGAAGGCCAAGGAAUCACUGAAGAUCGGCGAGGGAGGACAGGGGGUUCAUCAUGGGUGGCUUUUUCUCAAGUAUAUUUUCCAGUCUGUUUGGAACUCGGGAAAUGAGAAUUUUAAUUUUGGGAUUAGAUGGAGCAGGAAAAACCACAAUUUUGUACAGAUUACAAGUGGGAGAAGUUGUUACUACUAUACCUACCAUUGGAUUUAAUGUAGAGACGGUGACGUACAAAAACCUUAAAUUCCAAGUCUGGGAUUUAGGAGGACAGACAAGUAUCAGGCCAUACUGGAGAUGUUACUAUUCAAACACAGAUGCAGUCAUUUAUGUAGUAGACAGUUGUGACCGAGACCGAAUUGGCAUUUCCAAAUCAGAGUUAGUUGCCAUGUUGGAGAAGAGCUGAGAAAAGCCAUUUUAGUGGUGUUUGCAAAUAAACAGGACAUGGAACAGGCCAUGACUUCCUCAGAGAUGGCAAAUUCACUUGGGUUACCUGCCUUGAAGGACCGAAAAUGGCAGAUAUUCAAAACGUCAGCAACCAAAGGCACCGGCCUUGAUGAGGCAAUGGAAUGGUUAGUUGAAACAUUAAAAAGCAGACAGUAAUUCAGUCCAUUCUUCUCCCCUGAAAUGAAGACUACAUCACCUCUCUCCCUUUGGAAACAGUCAAGUGUACUUCACACUACUAGAUGUUAAAACUAUAUGAUUAUUGGCAUAUACUGACUGACUGCAAUAUUUGUAGUAAAUAGGGAAAAUAAGUAUUUAGUUGGAGGGAUAAUUUGAUCGAAUCACCUGAAUGUUCUAUGUAAUGUAAAAUAUUCUUUUCUUGCUUUCUUGUGUUAAGGUAUAUAUUCUAUUUGUAUGGAAUUCUUAUUCAAAUACAGUUCUAUUAAAGAGUAUACUCCUAUUGGAUGAAAAAAACC
rnacentral:lncRNA from 1 species